CCAGAUUCUACCAUUUAUUACACAUAUUACAUUCUUAAAUAAAAAUGCUCCACUUAACAGUUCUUGCAUAGAUAUCUUACAAUACCAAUUUAGAAAAGAAUUAUGAAACAGACCAGUAACAAAAAUAAAUUUUCUUCUUCCUUAAUAAAGAACAUUACCAUACUAACAUCAUAUAAUACAAAUAAUAUUUUAAACACUUUGUACAGCAAAAAAUUGUAAGUAAAACAAGGGAACUGAAAUAAAACAAACUCAACAGAGGUGACAGUGACAGAAGAGAGGAGGGUGGGGUGGAGUGACGGGUUAUGGAUCCAAGGUUGAUAUGAACGGAGUUACAGAGCCCCUGUAGGACGGCUGAUGGUGAGGGAUGCUGUGAUGGUAAAAAACACAUCUGUUUGUCUUUUUCACUUUCCUACAUGUCCCUUUGUCCAAGAACAUGUUUAGUUGUGGUCUCGACAGCUGUUGUUUGAGUCGACUGUGUACACACAUUGGAUCAUACAAAAGGUGCUAAAAUACCACUUGCAGUUGAUGAUGAUAUUGGAUUGCCUGCUGAAGAUGUGGCAAAAGGAUUGACACCAAAUUCAAUUCUGUUAGUCUGGACUCUAAUGGGCAUUAAUUCAAAGGUAAAUAUCAUUUUUCUUUUCAUCAUCUGUCUUAUUUUGCCCAUUGUUCCUGUUAGGUAUAAUAAUACCACAGUAAGAUACUCACCAAGUUUUCUGCUUAAUAAAGCUUUAACAACAACCCACUUGGACAAGUAAUAUGAGCAUCAUGCUCAUUUCUACAACCUCAGAUUUAACAGAAAUUGCCUCAAACUUUUGCUUGGCACUUGAACUGAAGGAAAUAUUUCAUGUGGUCUGGUACCUUGAUCUGGUGAGUAGCAACAUGUUGUCCGAACCAAUAAAAACAACCAAGUCUUCUAGACAUGACAUGUCUACAGGACCUGGUUGUUUCUAUAGUUGUGUGUCCUGUUCCAAUUUAUUUAUAGUAACAGGAUUUUUAAGAGACAUGAUUUAUAGAAACAAUGGCCAAAAGUAUGAAUAAAAGUAUUAAUGAACAAUUAAUUUGAAAUGUAAGGAACAGUUCAUGAAGAAACUAAGAAUCCUGUACACCACUGGCCACUCAUGAAAGUCAGAGGCCUGAAAUGUUGGCAGAUUCUUUGGCUUCGACAGUACUGAAUUUUUUUGAGACACCCUCAGCAAGACUUUAUGAUUAAGAAAAACUAAUAAUAGUCUUAAUAGUUGCAUUUGACUUUAGAGAAGCUAAUCAGCAUUUUGUGAUAGGUUGAACUGGAUUUGGCCAUCUAAAAUUGUCCAGCUAAAAUUUCACAGAAGAAUAUAGCAAAGACAAUCAGAAACUUUUGGUACCAAUCCUUCUUUUUCCCCACAUACUGAGAGAUAGAACAGGCCAGACACCAAAAAGUAGUCCGUUAACUAAAUGAACAUCACAGGAAAGCAUCAGGGAUCGACUGACAGAGAGGAUAAAGCACCUACAAGGAUGGAUCAGCUGAAGUUAAACAAACUGUACCGACCGAGGACAUUUAGCUGGCAAAGGUGGAAAAGUUAUUGCAGUCUCACCAAAGAACUGCUUGGAGCUCCCAAGCUGCAUAGCUCUUGAGAAUAUACCUCAGAACAGCUGGAUAUCUGAAGACUAUGAGCAUGCUGGGCCCCACAGGGCUCUGACAGUUGUGGAUUUGGUGGAGUAGGUUUGGUGAGGGUGAAGUGAAA
ensembl:lncRNA